GCCUGAGUGGCUCAGUGGUUGAGCGUCUGCCUUUGGCUCAGGGCAUGAUCCCAGCAUCUGGGAUCGAGUCCCACAUUAGGCU
rnacentral:tRNA from 1 species